rnacentral:lncRNA from 1 species
GGGCAGAACAGAUUUGUGAUAUUGACACAAUGCCUCCAUCAGAUAGGUAAGACAGUCCUCACAUCCUUGUGCAUUGUUCUAAUAACAGUACUAACCUGCUGGGUUUGAUCUUUGCUUGAGCAGGAAGCAAGAAGUACUUUGGCAGUUCCGCCAUCUGGAUAGCAACCGGCAUCAAUCAUUUCUUCAAAGAUUUCCAAGCAUCUUGUGUAUAGUUUCUUCUUAGAGUAGGCUCCAAGACGAGAAGUCCAUGUCACAACAUCAGGUUUUAACUUUUUUAAUGGAAGUGAUUGAAAGAGCUCUUCCAUCUUGUCAAAAAAUCCUGCCCUUCCAUAUAUGUUGAUCAAGAUAUUGUAUGUACUGAUAUCAGCUGCAUAUGGUCCUUUUUCCAGGGCAGUCAAAACUUCCUCCAUUUUUUCUAGCUGUCCUAACCGGCCAUACAGGUUUAGCAUACUGUUAAUCACAAAUGUGUCUAGUGCCAAACCAGAUUCUUGCAUCUGGUUCACAAUUUCUUCACACUUAGCUACAUUCCCAGCUUUGG